CCGCGCCCCGGACUAAGUUCCCAGGUGCGCGGUGCGCUGCGCUCUCCGCCGGCGCUCGGAGCCUCCGCCAGCCUCGGUUCCCUCCCCGCGUUCAACAGCACGAAAGCAGAGGUCUGGAGAGCCAAGUGACUUGCCCAGAGAUGAUCAGAGGGCGGUGACGGAGCAAACACAUCUGCGACUCCUUGCUUUUUCCUUUGCGAGGUCCUGCAGGAAUCGCCUCGCUCUCGCUGGUUAAGACCCACAGGAAUUCCACCACAAAAUAAUGUGCCUCCUGGGUUACCCUUCCAGUCCUGAUUGUGUUGUUCUUGGCCCAAGGAAACCAUUUGAAGAAGACAGUAAUCCUGCAAGAAAUGGAAAUGUCUUCUAAAAGUCAUGUAAAUCCCAAAUUGGAAUUGUGCUGAGUCCGGAGUGUGUACUCCUGACUACUCUUCUGCACGUGGGCAUGUACUUAAACUUUUCUCAGCCAAUCAAGAGUAGCCCGCUUCCCUGGCUAGUGACUGAUGUAGGAACAAGCAGAAGGUAAAAUUUUGCCUAAUGAAAUAAACUUUCCUGAGGUGGUGGUGGUGGCGUUCAAGGAAGGUUUCUUCCCAAAUGAUGUGUGUUGGAGGGAAUGUUUCUUUCUUCUUCUAAUGAUGCUGUUUCUGCAUCUACAUCUGCCUGAAACAGCAGAGUCAUCUUGGCACCCUGAAGGGAGCUGGAAGAAAGAUGGAAAUAGUCAUAACACUGUUGAGUUAAAGAGCUAACCAACCCCCAGAUUCCUACCUCUGGACUUGUUAUAUGAAAGAAUAAAUUUCCAUUUUGAA